rnacentral:tRNA from 1 species
GGAGUGGGAGUAUAUAGCUCAGUGGUAGAGUAUAUGCUUAGCAUGCACAAGGCUCUGGGUUCAAUCCCCAGAAUCUCCCACUCCA